CAGCGCAUUAGGAUUAUAGAAUAAGGAUAUUCGGGAACAUUUCAUUGACAUAGAAAAUAUUAACAGGGAUAAGUGGUGAAAAGGCCCUGCUCAAAUGAGCUUACAAUCUAGGAAGUACAUAAAUAUCAGUGAAUGCUUUUUAUCUCGAAAACUUCAUUUGCAGCUUGUGCUAUUUCAGAUCGGGGGGGAGGUUUAUCAAAG